CUGGGGAUGAAAUAUUCCUGGUGAUACAAAAUUGCAAACCACAGCUCAGCUAAUGGGGAGACCUCCUCCUUGGAUAAGAAUCAGGUUGUAAUUUUAAAAUGCUGAUUAGUGCACACACAGGGCACGAAGAGGGGAAGUUGGAAACGAGACAUCCUGUCUGAUGCAACCCUCCUGUCACCUGGUAUGGUUGCCCUUGACACUCAACCAUCUAUAAUUAGAGAAACUACUAGGGUCAGAAUGGGACCUCAGAAAGAGCUGCACCAUAAUGGACCGGAUGAUAGUGGCACUUGGACAGAGAGCACAGGAAGAAGGGCCUGGGACGUGGAGCCUGUAAGAUCAGCAUAGUUUGUGUGAGACACCAAGACUGCAGCAAAGGAGCGCUCGCAGUUAGGGGCCCUCGCCCCCAGAUGGAACCGUUCUCCGGGACUUCCUGAUAGAACAUGCAGGGGCUAGCAACAAAAACCAACAACCACCCUACCGUCCCCCAGCUGAGAAGUAAGAGGAACAGUGGGAUUUCAUGAAAUGGCGACCUGCUGUCUUUACCCUCCGCCUUUCCUCUCCUCUGUCUUUUUUUUUUUUUUUUCCCUCCACAAUGUUCUUCUAAGACAACAAGGAAAAUUACAGGUUCU
rnacentral:lncRNA from 1 species